UACGUAGGGUCCGAGCGUUGUCCGGAAUUACUGGGCGUAAAGAGCUCGUAGGUGGUUUGUCGCGUUGUUCGUGAAAACUCACAGCUCAACUGUGGGCGUGCGGGCGAUACGGGCAGACUAGAGUACUGCAGGGGAGACUGGAAUUCCUGGUGUAGCGGUGGAAUGCGCAGAUAUCGGGAGGAACACCCGUAGCGAAGGCGGCACUCUGGGCCGGUACUGACGCUGAGGAGCGAAAGCGUGGGGAGCAAACAGG
rnacentral:rRNA from 1 species